GACGAACGCUGGCGGCGUGCCUAACACAUGCAAGUCGAACGGGGUGUCGAGAGCUUGCUCUUGACACUUAGUGGCGAACGGGUGAGUAACGCGUGAGAAACCUGCCUCUCAGUGGGGGACAACAGUUGGAAACGACUGCUAAUACCGCAUAACGUAUUCGGAGGGCAUCCUCUGAAUACCAAAGCUUUAUGUGCUGAGAGAUGGUCUCGCGUCUGAUUAGCUAGAUGGCGGGGUAACGGCCCACCAUGGCGACGAUCAGUAGCCGGUCUGAGAGGAUGAACGGCCACAUUGGGACUGAGAUACGGCCCAGACUCCUACGGGAGGCAGCAGUGGGGAAUAUUGGGCAAUGGGGGAAACCCUGACCCAGCAACGCCGCGUGAAGGAAGAAGGCUUUCGGGUUGUAAACUUCUUUUGCCUAGGGACGAAGAACGUGACGGUACCUGGAGAAAAAGCAAACGGCUAACUACGUG
rnacentral:rRNA from 1 species